GUAAGGAGUAAGCCUCGCCCUUCUCUCCAGGAAGCCCGGUUAAAGGGAGUAGGCGUCCUUUGUUUGCAUAAAUGUCGUUUGCACAAUCAGAAAGCAGGAGCUAAGCCUUCGCCAGCCAAAGUACUCGCCCUCCCUGGACUGGCAACACAGGGACAUAGACACGUUAGUUUAGGGAUUAAAGGAGAGAGUCCCUGGCCGGGAGGAAGCAAUGAAGCCUCAGAGUUUGGGACUGGAAGGUCUGUCCCUUCCAGGGGCCCAGCUGCAUGGACCUUGGGUGAGGAAACUGAGGCACAGAAAGGUUGGGAGAUGUGCCUUAAACACCUGUUCCACCUCCCUUGUCCUCUCUGAAACUGAGGCCGAAUCACUGCAGCCCAGGACCAGAGUCCAGAUGGACCCUGCAGCUGGCUCAGCACAGGGGAUCUUCCGAACCCAGGGAUGGAACCUGCGUUUCUUAUGUCUCCUGCCCUGACAGGCAGGUUCUUCACCGCUUGUGCCACCUGAGAAGCCCCGAUCAGG
ensembl:lncRNA